AAGUCGUAACAAGGUUUCCGUAGGUGAACCUGCGGAAGGAUCAUUAUCGUGUUUUUUUUCCUCUUCGCGGAGGAAAAACAAACGUAUUCACCCAAUCGUGAACUUGUUCUUUUGGGGUUUGGGAAGAGUUUACUCUUUUCCAGGCUUCAAAAUUAAUAUUUACAUUUAACUUUAUUCACCACUUGUAUUCAAUGUGCUAAACUAAAAUCUUGGAGGAAGCUCUUUCGAGAGUGUUCUGAAAAGAAAGUACGAAAUUGCUGAACAACUCUUAGCAACGGAUAUCUUGGUUCUC
rnacentral:misc_RNA from 1 species